rnacentral:lncRNA from 1 species
GAUUCCUCCUUCAUGGCCUAAAGAAUGAUUGCAGGACAUGCCUGCUACACAGAAGAAAGCCUUCCAGGGAAGAGAAACAGCUGCCUCACAACAGCCACUCACUCGUUCCUGGAGAAUGAUCACACUCACAUGAGAACUGGACUGCUCUAGCUUGGUGUACCUUCCCAGGAACCUGCAGAAGGAGAAAAGCCUUCAAAAUCUCAAAUCAAAGGGGCCCCUGCCUGGCAACUCCCAGCACUGUGAGGGGACACAAGCCCAGUUCAGAGCCUUCUGUGAGCGGACUCUUCUCCACACUAAAGUCACUCGACAGAGAUGGUGCUGUCAUAUAUUCGGGAACCGUAGCAUCUCAGAAAUGAGAUUCAAAUGACCAAAUAACUUGAAAUGAGGAAAAAAGAACAAAGUCCAGAUUAUACCAUGAC